UCCCGGCUGCCUAACCUCCGCCCGGCUCAGCCAGCGGGCCAGUGCCCGUGCCCAGCGCCCAGCGCAACGCCAGCAUGUUCGGCGUCCAGCAACACGUCCAGCCGACGCCGCUGCCUCCGCCCUGGAGCUCCCGCUCUCAGCCGGCCGUCCCGUCUCCGCCCCGGCGCGGCUACUGCCCGGUGCCGGUGCCUCCGCCGCCGGCGCCUUCCCGCUCCUGCUUCGACCCCUGCUUGGCGCCGCCGCCUUCGCUGCCCGCCACGCUGCCCCGCGCCCGCCAGAGCCGCCCGGCCCCGCUGCCCCUGCAGCUCCAGCCCUGCCCAGACCCCUUCCCGCCGCAGGAGAGCUGCAACGGGGGCGGCAGCGUGGUCUACGAGCGGGUCCGCACCUACAGCAGCCCCGGCGGGAAACGGGUGCAGCUGCUGGACGCGCCCAACGGCUGCUCCCCCCGGGCGCUCUCGCCCUUCGACGCCAGCCCGGGCUACCAGCACGUCAUCUGGAGCAACGACCCUCCGUUGCAGGAAGUUCCAUCUCCAGCCUUGAAAUUGUCUCUAUAUUCCCAGGGCAACGUUCGAAGGAUUAUCUUGGAGAAUCCUGAGAAGGAGCCACUGUCUCCACUUCUGAGAGGAGGGAAUAAUGUGAUCUAUGAAAAGACCAUCAGGAAAUACGAGCUGCUAAAUCCAGAAGAGGAGAAGCAGUACCAAUACCUGCAGCAAACCCAGUCUGACCAAUGCCAAGUCAGCCAGCCAGUGGAACGAGUCCAAGUGGUUCAGCAAUGCCAACAUACAACCAAUGCCUGUGACUCUACUCCCGUCCGUGCCAAUGAUGUGGGACAGAACAGCUUUAAUAAAGUUAUCAUACAGACAUGUGAACCGGUGAAGCGCAUCCAGGAAACAAAUGACCAGCUGGACUGCCGAUACUUUGGGGAGCUCCUAGCAGAACUGCACCGCAAGAGCAACGACCUGUACAGCUGUUUGCUCCAGCAUGUUGAGAAGCUGGGCGGAAGAAGAUGCGAUCUGGAAUCUCUGAAUGAUGCAGAGGAUAUUGAGAGCUUGAUUCCUAAAGGGCUUUCGGAGUCAACAAAACAGCAGAUCCGUUACCUUCUGGAGAUGAGAGCCACAGCUGAUAAGUCCAUGAGGCUGGUCCUUACCACCUUCAGUAACCUUCGAGAGGAGCUGGUCCACCUUCAGGAUGACUUAGGGAAACUGGAAAUGGACAAGAUGCUGCUUGAGAAAGACCUGGCUUUCAAAGAAGCUCAAGUAAAAGAAUAUGAGAUGAUGUUGGCAUCUGUGCGGGAGAAUAACCGUCAGCAACAGCAAGCCCUCCGCGAAUACACUCUGAAGUGCCGUUCGCUGGAAGAGCAGCUGUUGUCUCUCCGUCACAACGACAGCGACCGGGAAUUUCGGCUGAAAGACCUGGAAUAUAGCAAACGAGCCUUGGAGCAGGAAAUCCAGAACUUGAGACUUCAGGCUUCCACCAAUCCUCUGGGCCAGACCACCACCGAUGAACUUUCCAGCCGCUACGUAGAGAUGAUCAACCAGCUCAGAGAAGAUAAAGACCGAGAGAUCCGCACUCUGCGGUGCUCGUUGUCUGAAUUCCAGAAGGAUUUCUCAAGGAAGCAAGGGAGCGACGCUGACCUUCAGAUGAGGCUGCAAGAUUUGAUCCUCAAGCUGGAAGAGAGGGAGGCUUGCAUCAAGCGACAGGAGGAGGAAAUCUUCAGAUUGAGACAAGAAAAAAUAGCCGUCAACCCAUCGCAAGGAAUCACAAAGACCAUCAUCACAAAAAAAUACAGGAAUCAUUAUCCCAUCCUGGGCCUCCUGUCCGAUGACUACAAAACUACAUCAUCCCCUCUUGGGGAAACCCAGACGAUCGUGAUUGAAAAAACCGGAGAAACCUGGCAGAAGGAAUCGUUCACUUCUGAUUAGAGAUCCUCUGGCUUCUUUCAAGAAAUGAGCAGAUCUACUGGACAAGUUGUGGCCUGAUCAGAAGAGUCUGCACAAAAUGAAUAUCGUUGCGUUAUUAUUGUUUUGCUUGCCUUCAUGUAACGCUUAAAGUCUGAGAUAAUUCUGGCUCCGUCAGGGGUUGGAAGGAGUUGUGAAAACACACCCGGUACCAAAGGCAGCGUUUGAACAAGUUAUUCGCAGCAGUUGGGUUACUGCUUUCAAACUUAAUGGGUCAACUGAAGCGAUGGAUGGAUGGAUGGGGAUCAGGAAGGGAGGUGGGCUGGGGAAUCCAGGAAUCACGUUUAUGCUAGCCAAGCUUCUCUCUUCUCCCUUUUUUAUUCCAAAGAUCUGAGAAACUAUAUCCGAUACCUGCCUGAUGCUUCAGUUUGCAGAGAUCAAUAAUUACUGAAUAAAUGUUUGUUUUUUUUUCCUUUAUUGGAAAUGUUCGGUCCAUUACCAAUAUUAUCUAGGAAUCGGGAGAGAUUCUCAGUCAUCCAAGUCAUGGUUAUCCCAGGUGCUUUUUUUCAAGAGGCAGCUGUGGACUUUCUUGUUUUUCCUUUUGAAGACGUUUCGCUUCUCAUCCAAGAAGCUUCCUCAGCUCUGACAGGAUAGUGGGGAAUGGAAAGAUUUAUACUCCUUGCACACAGCUGUUCAUUGGCAUCCUUUUAGAGAGUCGUUGAGGCCGCUUGGAGGUUUAUCUGUGUCAUCAGGGAUGACUUGAGUAGUGCAAAUGGGUGUGGAGCCUUCAUUGAAGCUGACGCAAGGAGUAUAGCUGAAAGUCUACACACCAAAAUUUCCACUGCUAAGCAAGACAGACUUUUAGCUGCACAAUUUGGGAUGAACACUCUUUGAAUGGUGUGGGCCUAGGAAUGGAUUUCCAGAGGAACCAGAAGCACUACUCAGGUGACCCUGAGGACACAGAUAAACCUCCAAGUGCUUCAAAGACCCUCUAAAACAAUGAUGGCUAACCUUUUUGCCAUCGCGUGCCGGGGUGUGUGUGUGUGUCACCCGCAUGCAUGCACGACCCCCUCUACGCCCACUGCUCCUGGCACAUAAUGGCCCGGUGAGAGAGAAAAAUAGGCCUUCCUGGAGGCAGGAAACAAUCUGUUUCCCUACUUCUGGUGGGCCCAGAAAGCCUGAAAAUCAGCACGCGCCGGAGCUGAGCUCGCGUGCCCACCAAUAUGGCUAUGCUUGCCACCUGUGACACGCGUGCCAUAGGUUCACCAUCAUGGCUCUAAAAGGAUGCAAAUGACCAGCUGUCUGCAAGGAAUAUAAAUCCUUCCAUUCCCUACUAUCCUGCCAGAGCUGAAGAAGCUUCUUGGAUGAGAAGCGAAACGUCUUCAAAAGAAAAAAAAAAACAAGGAAGUCCAGUUGCCUCUUGAAAAAGCAUCUUUGGGAUUAUCUAGGAAUGCUAAGAUUGCUUCCAACACAGCCUUAUUAAUGAAAGCAGUCAAAAGUUAUUUGAACAAGUAUACUUUUCUUUAAUAUGUGUUUUCUCACUAGUAGUUUUCUAUCCUUUUGGAAAGUAGACGGAGUUAGUACCUUUAGUUAAAGUACCUAAUCGGUAGAAUUUGGGUGUCGGGUUGGUUUUUGAUAUUGCUGUAGUUACUCUGUGGUGUGGUGGGUCGAAUCUUGGAACAGACAAGUUUGGACCGAAUGCGGUAAAUUUUUGUUCUAUGCUUUGAUUUGUUGCAUGAAGCUAAAAAACCGUAAGAUGUGGAGAAGGAGGAAGGACUGGAAGAGGAAUUGACGAGAAAGGAAUUUUGCUAUUGCUGUUGGUUAAAAAUUGUAUGUUGUUCAGAGAACAUUAGAUAAUGAUUAAGGACAGGUUGAAAACUGGCUUUGAGAUUUGAAAAUUGUGCUUGUUUUGAGUGUUGAGAUGGAUAUGAUCGUGGAUUCACAGCACCACAGUUAAGGUCAGUUGAAAUUGUACUGCACUGCCUUCCAUCCAGUGCUGGGGAAGACACUCCUCCCAACUCAGGAAGACAAGAAUGAGAGACGGAGAGUAGAUGACACACUUGCAGGAGAUAUGUCUUUGAUUCUGCUGUGCGUGGAUGCAUCACGCUUGCUUAUUCUUGGUGGCUUAUAAAUCAACUAACUGAUAAAGGAGACUUACUGUAUUUUUCGGAGUAUAUGAUGCUCCGGGCUAUGAGACACACCUACCUUUUUUGGUGAGGAAAACAAGAAAAAGAAAUCUGCCUCUGCCUCCCAGCAAUUUUCGUUGCAGCAAACAGCAAACAGCCUGCUUUACUUUCGUUUUCAUUUUCAGCAUAGCUUGAUUAGCACAAGAAAAAAAAAAUCUGCUCCCAGCAAUUUACCUCCUUGCAGCAAGCAGCAGAGGCCCACACAAAACAGCUGAGAGCAAAACAGCUGAGAGUCGGGAGGCCAAUCAACUUGUGCUAAUUAGGCUGUGCUGAAGCUGAAACGGGCUGUAUCUUCUUGCUGCUUGCUGCAAGGAGGUAAACUGCUGGGAGGCAGAGGCCAAAGGGUGGGGGCCAGUGGGUGGGCGGGGCUACAUUCUGUGUAUAAGACGCACCUAAAUUUUCACCCCCUUUUAGAGAGUGGAAAAGGUGCGUCUUAUACUCCAAAAAAUAUGGUAUUUGUAGCUCAGGGUUGAAAUGAGAGCUCUUUGAUGUUCUCUGAAUUUCGUUGCUUUGUUGCAGAUGUUUCAUUACCAAACUAGGUCUCAUCAUCAGUGCUAGAAGGGAGUGGGGUUGGCUCUCUGCUUACGUACAAGACGCAAUUACAAACCCCACUCCCUUCUAGCACUGAUGAUGAUACCAAUACCACUCUCUUCUAGCACUGAUGAAGGUACCUAGUUUGGUAAUGAAACAUCUGCACAAAAGCAACCCACCUCAGACAGCACCAAAGAUCCCUCGGAGACAAUUAACUUUAUAAAUGAAAAUAAUGUAGGGGAUUAUAGAAAGAUGUGUAAGACCCCGUCUCAAAAUUGGCCUUAGGAUUUGAGGCUGAAGAUGUUAUGAUGCCACAUUGAUGGUGCAACUAGUCAAUGUUUAACCUUGCUUUCAGAUUGACAGGCAUGGGGCUACCAGCACAGAAUGCAGAAUCUCUUUAGAAUAGUAUAUGGCAUGGGAAAAAAAUAUGAAAAAUAUUCUUUACCUCCAUUUUUGUUGCAGAGAUCUAUGAAGCCUGAUUAAACCCUAACUAUGGAAAUAAAUAAACUCCUGGCUUUUAUAAGCUAUGUUAAGACUUUUAGACAGGGGAACUUGUAAAGGCUGUGUUCUUUGUACUGUAGUCCCUCAAGACAAAAGAUUUCCCAAGAGUAAGCUUUUUCUAAACAAUUAUUGAAUGUCUUUUAUCAAUGACGGCUUUUAGAUGCAUGAGUCAGCUUUGGAUGUCACUUCAUUUCCUAUUUUGACAAGAGGUUUAGUUCAUCUCUCAUCUUUUGACUCGAAAAACAUUUGCCUUUUGUUCAGCAACGUUCUUUUAAACACACGGAUCUGAAAUACAAAAUAAUAACAAUAGACUUAAUAAUAAACAACACAGAUCAUCUAAAACUUCAGCCCCGCUGUUUGAAGGCCGCAGCUCGGUGCCAACUUCUUCCCUAGAAGGAAUUCCGGUUGAGAUUUAAAUUUCAAGUCGGGUCAAGCUCUUACAUACAAGUUGCGUUUUUAGAGAUAGCUUUGAAGAAAUGGAAAAUAAAACUCUGGGCCUCUGUUGUUGUGAUUUUAAAGGAAUUGAAAACAUGGAGAAUGCGGUUUCAGUUGUUAUUCACAAUUCUAAACAAUUAUUGAAUGUCUUUACUGAUAAUGGCUUUUAGAUGCAUGAGUCAGCUUUGACUGCCUAGAGUUGCUCUGGGUAACAAGGUGGGCGGCAUAUAAAUUUAAUAAAUAAAACAACUCAAAUCAACUCCCAUAUGGACCUUUUAUUCUUAGGCAGCUAGAUCUAUUUAAGCAUCAGAUCACAAUGGUGACCUACUUCACAUAUUACUGUACAUAUACCAUAUAUCUUGAUUAGCCAUAACUGUUGUAAGGCCCAUUUAAAGAGAAAAGCAUAGACAAACCUCAAUAUAACAGAAAAAUCUUAUUUGAUAUUACUUGGAAUUUAUCAUAUUUUCUGACUUGCCAGAGUAAAAGUAUCGAGACUCACAUUUCUCUCUCUGGCUUCCUUGCUCUAUAGCCAUGAUGGCGAACCUAUGGCACACGUGCCAUAUUGGUGGGCAUGCGGGUGUUGCCCUAGCUCAGCUCCAGCGCGCAUGUGCGCACCGGCCAACUGAUUUUCAGGCCUUCCGGUCCCACCGGAAGUCGGGAAACUGGCUGUUUCCGGCCUCCGGAGGGCCUCCUGGGGGAUGGGGAAGGCUGUUUUUGCCCUCCCCAGGCUCCUAGAAAGCCUCUGGCACCUGGGGAGGGCGAAAAACGGGCCCACCGGGCCAUCACGUGCCAAAAGCAGGGGGAAGCAUGGGGGGGGUCAUAUGCGCAUGCGCAGGAGGGUGGGGCGCAUUGAAUUAUGGAUGCAGGCACAUGCACCCGUGAUCCCCCCCGCUCCACCCGCUUUUGGCACACGACGGCAAAAAGGUUAGCCAUCACUGCUCUAUAGUAUUGCUGAAAGUUGAACAGUCAACCAAACUAAUACAGGUAAUCCUUGAUUUAUGACCACAACUGAGCCCCAAAUUUAUGUCGCUAAGCAAGCGAGGCUUGCCCCGUUUUACAACCUUUCUUGCCACAGUUGAGAAGUGAAUCACCGCCGUGGUCAAAUUAGUAACAUGGUUGUUAAAUGAAUCUGGUUUCCCUUGUCACAAGGUCGCAAAAGGGAUCAGAUGGUCCCAGGCUACUGCAACCGUCAUAAAUAUUUUGAUCACCUGACCAUGAGAAUGCUGCAAUGGUCAUAAGCAUGAAAAAAAGUCACUUUUUUUCAGUGUCAUUGCAAAUUUGAACGAUUAUUCAAUGAAUUGUUGUAAGUCAAGGACUAGCUGUACAAGCAAAAGUACGAAGUUGGAUUUUGAAAUGGGUGAAUAUUAAUGAAGCGUAUUUCACUACUAUGUUUUCCCGAAAAUAAGACUGUCAUAUUUUUUUUGAACCCUGAAAUAGGCGCUUGGCCUUAUUGCCAUGCGCUCAAAAGCCCGAUCGGGCUUACUAUCAGGGGAUGUCUUUAUUUGGGGGGAAACAGCGUAUUCUUAACAUAAACUCAAACCUUUUGCUCAAUAUCUCACAGAAGGAAAAUGUUAAGCGUUUAAAAUGUUUUAAAUUACAAGCCGUUUUGUAACUAUAAAACGCCAGUGUUUUUUCUUGUAAAGGUCUGUUUUGUGGUUAUGGCAAUGUUUAUCCUCUUUUCUUCUCCUGGGUGAAGGUAUUUUUGGAAUUGACAUGGACAAUUGAAUUGAAUAAAUCUGUGAUAAUAUACAAGAAUACAACUGACUUCUCUUGGUUAAAUAAAAAAAAAACAUUUCUAAGCUUGACAGUUUAGAUCUCAUGUUUCUUCCGGCUGUCACUACGUAAAUAAAACUGGAUAUUAACUGUUCAUUUUAGGCACACAACUUGUGUCCUUGUAGAAAUUGGUGGCCUUGUAAAUUUCCAAAAUAAGUAUAUAAGUUAGUAGAAUAGCCUUUCUUUAAAAAAAUAAAAAGUACAAAUCCAAGGAGCCUCCUGUGACAUUUAAAACAAUUGCAUGACAUACAAGUAAUUUUAGUAAAAGUGCAAUGUUAAUUUCUCACUAAAUCUAAAGUUUUAGAUGAUGCUAAAUAUUUUAAUUAGAGCUACACCACCUGGCACUUAAUAAAUUUUGAUAGCCCUUUUUUUCCCGCCAUCUAGCAGUCAUCUGAAGGUCCACAGUCCACAUUUCGUAUAGCUUGAGCUAUACAAAUCACAAGAGCUUAAGUGUUAAUGUUUGGGGCAAAUAUAUAUGACAUGCUGCACGAUUCUUGCUAAUGCAUUCUGUGAACUAACAGCAGUUUAAUAAACCAGAUUUACUUUCAA